AUACGGAGGAUCCGAGCGUUAUCCGGAUUUAUUGGGUUUAAAGGGUGCGCAGGCGGCCAUUUAAGUCAGCGGUUAAAUCGUGGGGCUCAACCCCAUUCUGCCGUUGAUACUGGGUGGCUUGAUUGCGGUCGAGGUUGGCGGAAUUCGUUGUGUAGCGGUGAAAUGCAUAGACAUGACGAAGAACACCGAUUGCGUAGGCAGCUGACCAGACCGCAAAUGACGCUCAUGCACGAAAGUGCGGGGAUCGAACAGGAUUAGAUACCCUGGUAGUCCGCACAGUAAACGAUGAAUACUUGUUUUCGGCGAUAUAAUGUCGGAGGCAAAGCGAAAGCGAUAAGUAUUCCACCUGGGGAGUACGCCGGCAACGGUGAAACUCAAAGGAAUUGACGGGG
rnacentral:rRNA from 1 species